GGUUCCAUAGUGUAGUGGUUAGCAUGUCUGCUUUACAUGCAAAAGGUCCUGGGCUUGUGCCCUAAUGGAGCCA
rnacentral:tRNA from 1 species